rnacentral:rRNA from 1 species
UACGUAGGGAGCAAGCGUUGUCCGGAAUCAUUGGGCGUAAAGCGCGCGUAGGUGGCCAUGUAAGUCCGCUGUGAAAAGUCAAAGGCUCAACCUUUGAAAGCCGGUGGAUACUGCAUGGCUAGAGUACGGAAGAGGCGAGUGGAAUUCCUGGUGUAGCGGUGGAAUGCGCAGAUAUCAGGAGGAACACCAAUAGCGAAGGCAGCUCGCUGGGGACGUUACUGAC